ensembl:misc_RNA
AUGACAGUCCUAAAGACUGAAAGUUUCUAUUUUACCACACAACAGGCACAAUAUAGGCAGCAGCAGUGUAAACUUCCUCACACUGUCCCAGCAACGUGCCUUAAUAUUAGUUUUAUGGGAUUAUGCCUAUGGGUAAGAGAUCAUUUAAGUCUCCAGGUCCGUUCAGUCCCUAAACUCC